rnacentral:rRNA from 1 species
CAGUCGCCACGGUAAUACGGAGGGUGCAAGCGUUAAUCGGAAUUACUGGGCGUAAAGCGCACGCAGGCGGUCUGACAAGUCAGAUGUGAAAUCCCCGGGCUUAACCUGGGAACUGCAUUUGAAACUGUCAGGCUGGAGUCUUGUAGAGGGGGGUAGAAUUCCAGGUGUAGCGGUGAAAUGCGUAGAGAUCUGGAGGAAUACCGGUGGCGAAGGCGGCCCCCUGGACAAAGACUGACGCUCAGGUGCGAAAGCGUGGGGAGCAAACAGGAUUAGAUACCCCAGUAUCCCUGUCUCUUAUACA